UACGUAGGGGGCAAGCGUUGUCCGGAAUUAUUGGGCGUAAAGAGCGCGUAGGCGGUCCGAUAAGUCGGCUGUGAAAGUCAGGGGCUCAACCCUUGAAAGCCGGCCGAUACUGUCGGACUAGAGUCCGGAAGAGGCGAGUGGAAUUCCUGGUGUAGCGGUGGAAUGCGCAGAUAUCAGGAGGAACACCGAUGGCGAAGGCAGGUCUCUGGGCCAUUACUGACACUGAGAAGCGAAAGCAUGGGGAGCGAACAGG
rnacentral:rRNA from 1 species